rnacentral:rRNA from 1 species
UACGUAGGGUGCAAGCGUUAAUCGGAAUUACUGGGCGUAAAGCGUGCGCAGGCGGUUCUGUAAGUCUGGCGUGAAAUCCCCGGGCUCAACCUGGGAAUUGCGAUGGAGACUGCAAGGCUAGAAUCUGGCAGAGGGGGGUAGAAUUCCACGUGUAGCAGUGAAAUGCGUAGAGAUGUGGAGGAACACCGAUGGCGAAGGCAGCCCCCUGGGUCAAGAUUGACGCUCAUGCACGAAAGCGUGGGGAGCAAACAGG